rnacentral:rRNA from 1 species
AACCUGGUUGAUCUUGCCAGUAGUCAUAUGCUUGUCUUAAAGAUUAAGCCAUGCAAGUGAAAGUACACAUGUAUAAUAAUAUAUCGAAACUGCGAACGGCUCAUUAAAACAGUUAUAAUCUACUUGACAUUUAUAUUAUAAGGAUAACUACGGAAAAGCUGUAGCUAAUACUUGUAAAAAUAUCUUAUGAUAUGUAUAUAUAUAUGUAUGUAUCAUUAAGAUAUGUAUUUGUUAGAUGUAAGAAGUAAAUAAAAUAAAUAUAAAUUGAAUUAUAACAAAGAAAGAACACGUAUACGUACGUGAUUAUCAAUCGAGUAUCUGACCUAUCAGCUUUUGAUGUUAGGGUAUUGACCUAACAUGGCUAUGACGGGUAACGGGGAAUUAGAGUUCGAUUCCGGAGAGGGAGCCUGAGAAAUAGCUACCACAUCUAAGGAAGGCAGCAGGCGCGUAAAUUACCCAAUUCUGAAGAAGAGAGGUAGUGACAAGAAAUAACAAUACAUUAUCGAAGAAUGAUUUUGUAAUUGGAAUGAUAGGGAAUUAUAACAUUUCUAGAGAAACAAUUGGAGGGCAAGUCUGGUGCCAGCAGCCGCGGUAAUUCCAGCUCCAAUAGCAUAUAUUAAAAUUGUUGCAGUUAAAACGUUCGUAGUUGAAUAUUAAAGAAUCCGAUGUUUCAUUUAAACUGGUUUUGGGGAACUACAUAUAUAUAUAUUUAUAUAUAUUGUUUAAUAAGUUUCCCGUAUAAAAUUAUGUUUUUAUCAGAUAUGACAGAGUCUUUUUUAAAAUCUGUUCAUUUUGCUUUUAUUGCUUUUUGAGAGAUUUUGUUACUUUGAGUAAAAUUAAGUGUUCAUAACAGACGGCUAUACUUUGAUUGAGGUGUUCAGGGUGUUUGAAUACUACAGCAUGGAAUAACAAAUAUGAAUAAGCUAAUUUAAUUUUUUAUUAUUUUUUUUUGAUAUUCUUAUUAGCUUAGUUACGGUUAAUAGGAGUAGUUUUGGGGGCAUUCGUAUUCAGAUGUCAGAGGUGAAAUUCUAAGAUUUUCUGGAGACGAACUACUGCGAAAGCAUUUGCCUAAUCUAUUUCCAUUAAUCAAGAACGAAAGUUAAGGGAGUGAAGACGAUCAGAUACCGUCGUAAUCUUAACCAUAAACUAUACCGACUAGGUGUUGGAUGAAUAUAAAAAAUAUAUAUAAAAUUUUGAUAUUUCUUAGAGAUUAUUGAUUUUAUAUAUUAGAUUGCUUCCUUCAGUACCUUAUGAGAAAUCAAAGUCUUUGGGUUCUGGGGCGAGUAUUCGCGCAAGCGAGAAAGUUAAAAGAAUUGACGGAAGGGCACCACCAGGCGUGGAGCUUGCGGCUUAAUUUGACUCAACACGGGAAAACUCACUAGUUUAAGACAAGAGUAGGAUUGACAGAUUAAUAGCUCUUUCUUGAUUUCUUGGAUGGUGAUGCAUGGCCGUUUUUAGUUCGUGAAUAUGAUUUGUCUGGUUAAUUCCGAUAACGAACGAGAUCUUAACCUGCUAAUUAGCGGCAAGUACACCAUAUUUUUAUUUGAAAUUGAUUUUAGGUAAAAUUAAUAAUAAUUAUUUUAUGUGUACAAAUUAGGAUAUUUUUAUUAAAAUAUCCUUUUCCCUGUUCUACUAAUAUUUUAUUUUUUUUUACUCUAUUUCUUUUUUCUUUUAAGAAUGUACUUGUUUGAUUGAAAAAGCUUCUUAGAGGAACAUUGUGUAUCUAACACAAGGAAGUUUAAGGCAACAACAGGUCUGUGAUGUCCUUAGAUAAACUAGGCUGCACGCGUGCUACAAUGAUAUAUAUAACAAGUUGUUAAAAAUAUACAUAUAUAUAUUUGUAUCUUGUGAUACUUAGUAAAUAAUUUUGUAUAUUUUUUCCUUUACUGAAAAGUAUAGGUAAUCCAAUCAAUAUAUAUCGUAACUGGGAUAGAUUAUUGCAAUUAUUAAUCUUGAACGAGGAAUGCCUAGUAAGCAUGAUUCAUUAGAUUGUGCUGACUACGUCCCUGCCCUUUGUACACACCGCCCGUCGCUCCUACCGAUUGAAAGAUAUGAUGAAUUGUUUGGAUAUGAAUUAAAACAUGGAAUUUUAUAUUUCUGAUUUUUUCUAGAAGAACUGUAAAUCCUGUCUUUUAAAGGAAGGAGAAGU